UGAGAAUCCCUGCUUUACAUGAAGGCAAUCA
rnacentral:piRNA from 1 species